CCAGACCUCAGAUGAUCUGCCUGUCUCGGCCUCCCAAAGUGCUGGGAUUACAGGCGUGAGCCACCAUGCCCAGCCGGCUUCUCAGCUUUAAUGUGUGUGUCUCACCUGGGGUGUUGUGAAAACGAAGGCUCUGAUCUCUCAGCUCCGAGGACUACACUGGGGCCUGAGGAACUGGAUUCUUGCUGAGCCAAGCAGGAUGUGUUGGCAUCACGUGGACGCGGAGCUGGGCUGUUGGGCAGUGGCCCAGUGGCUGGCAGAACCCCACACAUGAACACUGAGCCACUUUUCCCACGCAAGCCCUAACCCCUAAUGCCGGGGAGACCCACAAUGGAACACACACCCAGACGGUGCUUCGGAUCAGCUUCUCCUGACCCCCCUCCCCAAGCCACCUCCUCCCACUGGGACGCCAGGUCUGAGGAGGCAGCUCUGACCCUGCUGUGGCCCUCACAGGCUCUGCCCCAGCCCCUCUCCCAUCUCGGAGGCAUGGGGCUGUUUCCUGGUGUCCCCCAUUACCACCCUUCCUGUGUCCGAGACUCCUGCCCAAAAGGCUAGAGCCCCAGCCUGCUUUCUCCAACACCCUCGUGGGAUUUGCAAGAGACCCUCUGGGAGGAGGUGUGAGGUCAGGACCCCCUGCCCAAAGGGAGUCCAUGCUUUCCCAUCCCACUCCUCUCAGCAGCACCCCCGCCCGAUUCCACAGACUCCAAAAUGUCUCCAAAUGAAUUAAAGAAGCCAUGGUCAACCCACAUGAAUGUGCCAACAAGCAUUUUCAUUUCUUUAUUUUAAGGACACUGGGAAAGGAGCCAGUCCUCUGAAGAGAACACUCUGGUCAGGUGGUGGAGGCCAGUGGGAAGCCAUCAGGCCUGCUUUCCAGGAGGGGUGAAGGGUUGGUGCACGGUGCAAGGUGAGAGUGAG
rnacentral:lncRNA from 1 species